AUUGAACGCUAACGGCGUGCUUAACACAUGCAAGUCGAGCGGCAGCAUGACUGUAGCAAUACAGUUGAUGGCGAGCGGCGGACGUGUGAGUAAUGCAUAGGAAUCUGCCUUGUAGUGGGGGAUAACCCGGGGAAACUCGGGCUAAUACCGCAUAAUCUCUACGGAGCAAAGUGGGGGACCUUCGGGCCCUACGCUAAAAGAUGAGCCUAUGUUGGAUUAGCUAGUUGGUAGGGUAAAGGCCUACCAAGGCAACGAUCCAUAGCUGGUCUGAGGGGAUGAUCAGCCACACUGGGACUGAGACACGGCCCAGACUCCUACGGGAGGCAGCAGUGGGGAAUAUUGGACAAUGGGCGAAAGCCUGAUCCAGCAACGCCGUGUGUGUGAAGAAGGCCUUCGGGUUGUAAAGCACUUUUAGUGGGGAAGAAAAGUUCAUGGCUAAUAUCCAUGAAUGCUGACGUUACCCACAGAAAAAGCACUGGCUAACUCUGUGCCAGCAGCCGCCGUAA
rnacentral:rRNA from 1 species